AUGAGCAUGAAGACGUGGCUGAACCUGGUGGAGCUGAAGCAGGCGGGCGGCGAGGGCUGGAUGGAAGACGCCGACCGACGUGUGGAACGGCCUCCUCGCGCCCACCUUCAGGAGCGACUGGGACCUCUGCUCCCUCGUCGGCUGCACGGGGUCCUCUCUCCAGCUGUGCGGGACGUCGGGUGCCACAAGAGCGACAUCGGCGACGACCCAUUCUAAGGGCCUCGAGAGGUUCACGGAGAAGGCGGAACCAGCGGGGAUUUGCAGCGGUCGAUCGUGAGAGUGAAAUAAAGAAUGGGAAUUAUC